GUAUUAUACAUUUAGAAAUUAAAAACUUUUUAACGGAUUUUGAACGCGAUUUAUUCAUUAUUUUAUUAACCCGUCCUUUCGAACACUUUACAGCCAGCGUGGUCACGGAAAGACUGUAUAUAAUAAAUCUAUAUAAAAUUCGAAUUAACUUUACUUACCGAAUGUAGUUGCAUAGAUGGUAGAUGGUAUAAAUAUAAAGUAUCUUAAAUAUUUUUCUCAUUCAUAGCGCAGAGUACAGAGAGGACAUUGAACCUAUACCUGUGGGCUACAAGUGAGUACAGUCACAUGGUCCCCGCCAUCGGUGAGCCGCACAUACUGACCGGAGAAGGAUUUGAAGAUCUGUUGUAACUACACUCAUAUUAUAAAACGUAAAGCAUAUCAACCCUAAAAGUGUGAAAUUAUACGUUAAAUUGGCAGUGUAAGGUUACGAUUACAUUUUAAAGGAUUUAUGAUUAAUUUUAAUGGGGCCUUUUAGGAGGACCGACAUUAUCCUUGUGUAUGAAGGUUCACAAUACUAAUACAUAUUAUUUAUUUCAAAUCUGGAACAUUUAACAAAAUAUGAUAUCCUUUUUCCUUUUAUGGCCUUAUCUUUUUAUUUUUAUGGCCGGAUUUACCACUUGCUCAUAAUGUCCUAAUAAAAUUUUGACGUUUAUGUCCAUAGAUAAUUUCUCAUUUUAACUCCCAACUACAGUCUUAACAGAACAUAAUUAUAACUAUUCUUUUAUAAGGUUAUUCAUAUUAACUUUCCAAACUGCGAAGUGUCAUUCUUUAAUAGCAUCACAAAAAAAAAGUUAUGUACCUAUUGUCAAUCUCCAACGUUUUUGGCGGUAAAAAAUCGAGAACUAAUUAAUUAGUGAAAAUUUAUUUAGUAAAGUAAUAAUUUAUAAGUUGGUUCAUAAUUUAACCACUCUUGUCAAGCUGGUAUCACAUUUGAAGUGGAUUUUUAUUUAUGCAGUUAAAUUAGUAUUAUUUUCCUUGUCUGGCCAAAACUAUGUUCCGCGGGCAGGCAUCAUCAUGAUAUAGUCAGGGUUUGUAACUUAUUCAGUAUUUGAUAAUAUAUUUCUGAACUUUACUCAAAAGUGUAUAAGCAAUUUAUAAUAAUCGCUUAUUAUUUUAUUAUAUUAUAAGACAUCGGUUUGUUAAGUUACAUUCAUUUUGAGUUUUGACUCUGAAUUUCUUUGUGCACUAUCUCACCGAUUGUAUUACAAAUUACUGUUACUAUUCUAUAGCUUUACUAAGAAUGUGGUAGGUGUGUAAAUAUUGUAUAAUUGUAUAGUUCUGUACUACUACUCUUAUUGGUAAAUUUGCUGUGAUGAUUUAUUUAUUACAUGUCUUACUUAAUAAGUGUAAUAAUAUUUUUUUUAACUUACAUUUAAUUUGUUAUACCUGUAAAAUUAAUUUAUUGUUCAUUCAAAAUAAGCGCAUUUAUUAUAGUGCAGCCAUCAUGUCAUGAAACAAAUAUCGUCUUCCAUUUGUAAAACUGAUCAUUUCCAUACUUUUGUAGUACAAAAUCAGUGUGUCUUAAUAAAUUAUUGCAAAUUUAAUA